AGAGUUUGAUCCUGGCUCAGAUUGAACGCUGGCGGCAGUGCCUAACACAUGCAAGUCGAGCGAGAAAGUUCUUCGGAACGAGUACAGCGGCGGACGGGUGAGUAACGCGUAGUGAAUCUACCUGGUAGCUGGGGGACAACAUGUGGAAACGCAUGCUAAUACCGCAUACGACCUAAGGGUGAAAGUGGGGGACCUUCGGGCCUCACAGCUAUCGGAUGAGCCAUGCGUAGGAUUCAGCUAGUUGGUGGGGUAAAGGCUCACCAAGGACGACUGAUCCUUAGCUGGUCUCGAGAGGAUGAUCAGCCACACUGGGACUGAGACACGGCCCAAGACUCCUACGGGAGGCAGCAGUGGGGAAUAUUGCGCAUGGGGGCAACCCUGAUCCAGCCAUGCCGCGUGUGUGAAGAAGGCCUUCGGGUUGUAAAGCACUUUCAGCGAGGAGGAAGGGGUGGUAGCGUAAUACGCUGCAGCCGUGACGUUACUCGCAUAAGAAGGACCGGCUAACUCCGUGCCAGCAGCCGCGGUAAUACGGAGGGUCCGAGCGUUAAUCGGAAUUACUGGGCGUAAAGCGCGCGUAGGCGGUUAGAUCAGUCAGAUGUGAAAGCCCUGGGCUCAACCUGGGAACUGCAUCUGAUACUGUCUAACUAGAGUUUGGUAGAGGAGUGUGGAAUUUCCUGUGUAGCGGUGAAAUGCGUAGAUAUAGGAAGGAACACCAGUGGCGAAGGCGACUUACUGGACCAAUACUGACACUGAGGUGCGAAAGCGUGGGGAGCAAACGGGAUUAGAUACCCUGGUAGUCCACGCCGUAAACGAUGUCUACUAGCCGUUGGGAGACUUGAUCUCUUAGUGGCGCAGCUAACGCAAUAAGUAGACCGCCUGGGGAGUACGGCCGCAAGGUUAAAACUCAAAUGAAUUGACGGGGGCCCGCACAUGCUCCACCGCUGGAGCAUGUGGUUUAAUUCGAUACAACGCGAAGAACCUUACCAGGUCUUGACAUCCUACUAAGUUUCCAGAGAUGGAUUCGUGCCUUCGGGAAAGUAGUGACAGGUGCUGCAUGGCUGUCGUCAGCUCGUGUCGUGAGAUGUUGGGUUAAGUCCCGUAACGAGCGCAACCCUUGUCCUUAGUUGCUAGCAGGUAAUGCUGAGAACUCUAAGGAGACUGCCGGUGACAAACCGGAGGAAGGUGGGGACGACGUCAAGUCAUCAUGGCCCUUACGACCUGGGCUACACACGUGCUACAAUGGACGGUACAAAGGGCUGCAAUACCGCGAGGUGGAGCGAAUCCCAUAAAACCGUUCGUAGUCCGGAUUGGAGUCUGCAACUCGACUCCAUGAAGUCGGAAUCGCUAGUAAUCGUGGAUCAGAAUGCCACGGUGAAUACGUUCCCGGGCCUUGUACACACCGCCCGUCACACCAUGGGAUUGGAUUGCACCAGAAGUAGUUAGUCUAACCUUCGGGAGGACGAUUACCACGGUGUGGUUCAUGACUGGUGUGAAGUCGUAACAAGGUAGCC
rnacentral:rRNA from 1 species